UACGAAGGGGGCGAGCGUUGUUCGGAUUUACUGGGCGUAAAGGGCGCGCAGGCGGCGCAUUUUGUCAGGCGUGAAAGCCCCGGGCUUAACCUGGGAACUGCGUUUGAUACGGAUGGGCUAGAGUUCGGGAGAGGGAUGCGGAAUUCCAGGUGUAGCGGCGAAAUGCGUAGAUAUCUGGAGGAACACCGGUGGCGAAGGCGGCAUCCUGGACCGGCAUUGACGCUGAGGAGCGAAAGCCAGGGGAGCAAACGGG
rnacentral:rRNA from 1 species